UUGAUUAAAGCUCCGGCGGUUAGAGAUGGGCAUGCGUGUCAUUAGCUAGUCGGUGAGGUAACGGCUCACCAAGGCCACGAUGACUAGGGGGUCUGAGAGGAUGAUCCCCCACACUGGUACUGAGACACGGACCAGACUCCUACGGGAGGCAGCAGUGAGGAAUAUUGGGCAAUGGACGCAAGUCUGACCCAGCCAUGCCGCGUGCAGGAUGACUGCCCUAUGGGUUGUAAACUGCUUUUGUUUGGGAAGAAACCCCCGAUCGUGAUCGGGGCUGACGGUACCAUACGAAUAAGCAUCGGCUAACUCCGUGCCAGCAGCCGCGGUAAUACGGAGGAUGCAAGCGUUAUCCGGAUUCAUUGGGUUUAAAGGGUGCGCAGGCGGAAUAUCAAGUCAGUGGUGAAAUCCUGCAGCUUAACUGUAGAACUGCCAUUGAUACUGAUAUUCUUGAAUAUAGUUGAGGUGGGCGGAAUGUGUAAUGUAGCGGUGAAAUGCUUAGAUAUUACACAGAACACCAAUUGCGAAGGCAGCUCACUAAACUAAUAUUGACGCUGAGGCACGAAAGCGUGGGUAGCAAACAGGAUUAGAUACCCUGGUAGUCCACGCUGUAAACUAUGAUCACUCGCUGUUGGCAAUACAUCGUCAGCGGCUGAGCGAAAGCAUUAAGUGAUCCACCUGGGGAGUACGGUCGCAAGAUUGAAACUCAAAGGAAUUGACGGGGGCCCGCACAAGCGGAGGAACAUGUGGUUUAAUUCGAUGAUACGCGAGGAACCUUACCUGGGCUUAAAUGCAGAGCGACGUCCGCCGAAAGGUGGAUUCCUUCGGGCGAUCUGCAAGGUGCUGCAUGGUUGUCGUCAGCUCGUGCCGUGAGGUGUCGGGUUAAGUCCCAUAACGAGCGCAACCCUUAUCGUUAGUUGCCAGCGGGUAAUGCCGGGGACUCUAACGAAACUGCCGGUGUAAACCGUGAGGAAGGUGGGGAUGACGUCAAAUCAGCACGGCCCUUAUGUCCAGGGCUACACACGUGUUACAAUGGUCGGUACAGAGGGCAGCUA
rnacentral:rRNA from 1 species